AACCUUAUGGACCUGCGGGCGUAUACCUGCGGAGGGAUCAUUACAGAGUUCAUGCCCUCACGGGUAGAUCUCCCACCCUUGAAUACUAUACCUUUGUUGCUUUGGCGGGCCGCUUUGGCUACUGGCUCUGGCUAGUAAGUGCCCGCCAAAGAACCCCAAAACUCUGAAUAUUAGUGUCGUCUGAGUACUAUAUAAUAGUUAAAACUUUCAACAACGGAUCU
rnacentral:misc_RNA from 1 species